UUUGUACUCCCUCCAUCCGGAAUUACUUGCCACAAAAAUUGAUACAAAUGGAUGUAUCUAGAACUAAAAGACAUUUACAUACAUCCAUUCCUACGACAAGUAUUUCCGGACGGAGGGAGUAGCAU
rfam:Hordeum vulgare subsp. vulgare, WGS project CAJW01000000 data, contig: morex_contig_1879330